GCAAAAUUUUAGUUGUUAAGCCACUAAAUUCUUCAGAGUCAAUGACUCGCGUGCAAUAUCAUAGGAUGAUUCCAAAUACAUUUCCAACCUGUGACCAUUAACUCAUGACCACUAACCUCUUUUUUAAUCUCCACAUCCCCAUAAGAAUAAAUCUUAGUAACCACAUAAGGCCCCACCCACCCAGCUUAGAGACAUAGAAUAUGCAUGCUAGGAUAGGACCACAUAACAAUUUGUUUGCUUUUGACUAUGCUUGUGUGAAAUUUAUGUCGCUUUAACUGCUUUAAAUUCUCUGCCAAUUGAUAAUGUGGAACUGAUGUGGUUGAUGAUAAGAUAGACUUGUUGCUGGAUGCAAGAUCCAACUUUACUGUUUGUAUGUUUUGUCUACUACGCAAAAGCCCAAAUUUUUUAAUCCAUAACAUGUAUUACCAACCCAGUUUUACACAUCACAGUAUGUUCACAAGCACUCAUUAAUUUUUGAACCAAGUGUGUUUGAAAAUUAAAAACGGAAUGUAAGACACAAAAUUAAACUAGAACUAAUUAGGAAAGAAACAAAUUUAAAAUAAAAAAUAUAUAUAUUUUUGGAUUUUUCAAGGUUUUCUAUUUUCCUUUUUUUUUUGAAACUGUUGAAAACAAACUAAAAUAAAAUAAAGUUUAAGAAAUUAAAAAUAUCUAUAAACAUAAAACAAAACUUAAAGAAAAUAAGGAAAGAAUUGGAAACUUGGGUAAUAGAUGCAGCAGAAGUCUAGUGGUUAAGUCACUUGAUCAUUUAGAGUCAAUGACUUGUGUAAUAGACGUGACACUAAGUACAGUUCAGGCAUGUGACCUACCUUGAACUCAUGAGGAUUUUUAAUCUCCACAGCCCCAUGCGAAUAAAGCUUAGCAACCACAUAAGACCUAGCCCACCUUAGGACAUAGAAUUUGCAUGCUAGGAUAGGACCCCAUAACAAUUUGUUUGCUUUGACUAUGCUUGCAUGAAAUUUCUGUCACUUUAACUGCUUUAAAUUCUCUGCCAAUUGAUAAUGUAGAACUCAUGUGGUUGAUAAUAAGGCAGACUUGUCACGCCCGAUCCCAACAUACGUCGAGAAUCGACACGUGAAAAGGAAAAUAAUGUCCGUUGAAUACGGUAUAAGUUACAGAAUAAAAUACUUUAAUUGAUAAACCAAAAUAAUAUGAAGGUGGCUAAGUUCUCCACAAAAUAUUUACAAAUAUGUACAUCCCAAAAAGAAGCAUAAUCUUUGCUUUACUAAGAACAAGAUUGAGGUGCUCAAAAGAAAGUCCCAAAGAUAAAGUACAAGAUAGGAUAGGGGUAACCUAGCACUCCAAAUCUCUGAUAACUGUACCGCUACCCCACCUACGAACCUCUCGAAGCUACUCAGACUUGUUACCUGUAAGAUCAGUGCCUACACCAUCGAAAUGGUGCACCGAGCAAACAACAACCCAGAUAAGCUACGAAGCUUGUGUGAGCGAUAAAUAAAACAAAGUAUAUGAUACUAAUAAUAAAACCAACCAUCAUUCACAAUUAUAAACCUUGAAUAUAAAUCAUUUAUAAGAAAUCACUACCAAACCUUGCAACCUCCGAAUGAGUCACACAUACAUCCAACGAGUUUUCUAAAUCAAAACUCAGAGUUCUCAAAGCCACAUUCACAGAUAUAUUCAAAACAUAGUUAGAGAGACGUCGUUCGGCUGAAGCCUACACAAGUAACCAAAUAGGAAGUGGCCCCCCAAAGCGGAUCAACCAAGCAAAGCCACCCCUAAGAAAGUAACCAAGUAGGUAGUGACCCCCCAAUGCGGAUUAACCAAGCAGAGUCACCCCUGAGAAAAUAACCAAAUAGGUAGUGACCCCCCAAUGCGGAUUAACCAAGCAGAGUCACUCCUAUAACUAUUGGAAGGUGAUCACCCAAUGCGGAUUAACCAAGCAUGAUCACCUUUAAAUGUGUAUAUACCUAGGAUAUAAGGAUCGCCCAACGCAGAUUAACCAAGCGCGAUCCGCAAAUAGUAUGGUCCCUUAACGCGGAUUAACCAAGCAGGACCAUCCAGGACCAUUGCUACGUGAUGCAGACUUAGUGUCACCUAACCCCAUGACACUAGGGUAAUGGUCCUUUACAAUCCUUCAUUUCUAUCAAACCAUCAAAUAUAUAUUCCAAAACAUAAUCCAUCAUUUUUAUCAACCAUCACAUAUAUAUCCCAAAACACAAUCCAUCAUUUUUAUCAACCUACAUAUAUAUCCCAAAACACAAUCCAUCACAGUUCAAAUAUCCAAGUCACCUAAUGUUUCAUAAGUAGAUCGACGACAACUUAAUAGCAACAAUUAUUUAGCAUCAGAACUAUUUUAAAAAUCCAUAGUGUAACCACAAAGUUUAUUAGAAUCACUCACCUGAGAUCCACACUAACGCACUCAAAAACGAGAGUCAAGGCAUCACGUUCUAUCACCGCCUAACAAGGUACAAACCACAUUUAUAUUUCCUUCGAUAAUUCACAUACUUAAAACUCUCAUAUAUCUCCCACAACAACAUUUAAUGAGGAAUCGAACUAUCAUUCUAAGGUAGGGUCCAUGAUCUUACGUCACUUAUUCCGUAAUAUCUAAUCACUAGAUUUUCACUUGUAAGUCCCUAAGGUCCUUAAACAAUAUCUACCAUAGCAUACUAAAAUUAGUGUCAAUACACUGUAAGAUCGUCAAUUGUUAGCGUUAUCAAGUGGCGGACCUUAUCGAUAAAAUACUCAACCAACAACAUUUUCAUAAAUCGAAUGUCACACACCGGAAAAUUUGACUUUCUCUAAAAAUUCUCAAAUUUUACAAGAAUAAAGAUUUCAACAAGUAGAGUAAACUUUAUACCUGUGGUCGAGUCCAAUUUGGCCUGGAAGGCCCUCAAAUUGGCUCACACCCAACGAACCCUAAGGUGGGUGUUCUUCACUUCGGUUUCCUUGGUGUUCCAACGCCCCAACCACCAGUUAGGUCCUGUUCUUGGGUCCAAGGGAAGUUGAUUAAGGAUGAUGGUUAGUGGUGAUACUCUUCGGAAUGACAAUUCGUCGUUGAGAACCCCCGGGUUCUCCUAUGGAGUUCUAUCCGAAUUAGACCUUAAUAACCCUUGAUUUUUGGUAGAGAGGGAAGGGAGAAGAUAUUUAAGCAAGUUACAGGUGAAGGAGAUAGGAGAAUCAGCUGAGAAUUUGAGGAACUUACAUGAAAUGGCUGGUUUGAAAACGGUUUGGUGGUGCACACAGUUCACCAAAUAGGGAAGAAAGAAAAAGUGUCCCCUUUUUUUCCUUUAGUUCGCCUUUUCUAGCUCCCCCCCCCCACAAAAAAAACCAUUUGAUUGAUCUUUUCUUUUUUUUAUAUUAUUAUUUAUUUAUUUUUAAACCAACUUAACUUUUAAUCCACAUGUGGAAAUUAAACAAUUCCCACAAUCUAUAGUUCACAACUUAAACAUCAGCAACUAUACCGUUAUAAUUCGAACUCGCAAAUGGCUUUCGCCUAUGCAUUCGUGGGUUUGAGAUCUAUUUAAAAAUACUAGUUGUAACUUCCAAAUAUCAACGAAAGAUAACGAUUGAUUAAGAAACUUCCAACUCGAUAACUAAUCAAUUACUAAACUUAAAUAAUGGAAUUAAAAUUAACUAAUAAAGAUAACGUAAUCGCGAAAUACGAAUUUAAAAUUCGAGAUACGUAAUGAAUGGUGAAAUUCCGAGGAUGGGAUUUCACAUCCUUCCCCCCUUAAAAAGAGUUUAGUCCCCUAAACUCAACGCAUCUGAGUCAAAUAUAUGGGGAUAAUGUUGGCGCAUCUCAAUCUCUGGUUCCCAAGUUGACUCCUCCACACCAUGAUUAUUCCAUAACAUGCGCACCAAUGAAAUAGUCUUGGUGCGGAGAGCUUUCUCUCUCUGAUCAAUAAUUUCAAUGGGGUACUCCUCAUAACUGAGAUUUUCCUUAACCUGAAUAGGCUCAUAAAAAAUGACAUGAGAAGGAUCACUACAAUACCUCCGGAGUGAGGAUAUGUGGAAUACUGGGUGAAUGUGAGACAACUCUGGAGGUAGUGCAAGGCGAUAGGCAACUUCGCCCACUCUCUCCAAUACCUUAAAUGGUCCAAUGUACCUUGGACUAAGCUUCCCUUUACGUCCAAAUCUAAAAACGCCUUUCAUAGGUGAAACCCGUAGCAUAUUCUCCAAUAUCGAACGUCACCUCACAUCUGUGAGGAUUAGCAUAACUCCGUUGUCUACUCUGAGCGGCUAAUAGAUGUGCACGGAUCAUAGAAAUCUUUUAUGCUGCAAUCUGUAUUAACUCUUGUCCCAAUAAUUGACGUUCUCCUACUUCGUCCCAGUAUAAAAGAGACCUACACUUUCUUCCAUAAAGUGCCUCAUAUGGUGCCAUCUUAAUACUAGCCUGGUAGCUAUUAUUAUAAGCAAAUUCAAUCAAAGAUAUCUGCUUAUCCCAAUUACCUUUCAAAUCAAGUAUGCAAGCUCGAAGCAUAUCCUCCAACGUCUGAAUGGUGCGUUCUGACUGACCAUCGGUUUGAGGAUGAAAAGCUGUGCUAAAACUCAACUUAGUCCCCAUAGCAUUAUGAAGGCUACCCAAAAAACGAGAAGUGAAACGAGGAUCACGAUCGGAAAUGAUGGAUACUGGAACUCUAUGCAACUUAAUAAUCACAUCUAAAAAUAGUCUUGCAAGUCGCUCAAGAGUAUAAGUUUUCUCAACAACAAUAAAAUGAGCAGAUUUCGUCAAUCGAUCGACGAUCACCCAAAUGGAAUCAUGCCCAUCACGAGUUUUCGGUAAGCCUGUUACAAAAUCCAUGGUAAUGUGCUCCCACUUCCACUCGGGAAUAGGGAGUGACUGAAGUAAACUUGUAGGUCGCUGAUGCUCUGCCUUAACUUGUUGACAAGUCAAGCAAUGUGCGAUGAACUCGGCAAUCUCUUUUUUCAUAUUUCCCCACCAGAAAUUAUCACGAAGAUCUCGAUACAUCUUUGUGCUCCCAAGGUGGACGGAAAAAUGGGAAGUAUGAGCCUUCUCCAUGACCUCUCUCCGUAGGUUUUUAACAUUCGGAACACAAAGUCGAGUCCUGUAACAAAGUACAGCACUGUCAAAAAUGGUAAAAUCGGGCCGAGUACCUGUUCGUACUCCUUCCAUGAUCAGAACUAACUCUGAGUCUUCACUUUGGGUUGCUUGAAUCCGAUUAAUUAACGAAGGUUGUACCGUAAGGGCUGCGAGGAGAGGAUCUCAACCCUGAUUAAUCGGUUUAAUCUCCAUUCGCUUAAGAUCCUCCGCUAACUGACCAACCUGAAGUGAUAAAGCUGCAACACUAGUUAAGUGUUUCUGACUCAAAGCAUCAACAACUACAUUUGCCUUACCAGGAUGAUAAAGAAUAUGACAAUCAUAACCUUUCACCAACUAUAACCAACGUCUUUGUAGCAAGUUUAGCUCUCGUUGGGUGAAAAUAUACUUGAGGCUCUUAUGAUCGGUAUAAAUCUCACAAGACUCCCCAUACAGAUAAUGUCGCUAAAGCUUUAAUGCAUAAACCACAACAGCUAGUUCUAAAUCAUGAGUGGGAUAAUUAAGUUCAUGCGGCUUAAGUUGGCGAGAAUCAUAAGCCAUAACCUUACCGUGCUGCAUCAGAACGCAACCUAAUCCUUUAUGGGACGUAUCAGUGUAUACUACAAAACCUCCAAAACCAAAUGGAAGCGUAAGAACAGGUGCAGAGACGAGUCUCUUCUUUAGCUCCUCAAAACUAGCCUCACAUUCAUCAUUCCAAACAAAAGGAGUAUCCUUCCUUGUCAGUUUCGUCAGAGGAAGUGCUAACGAUGAAAAACCUUUAAUAAAUCUGCGAUAAUAUCCAGCUAAGCCCAGAAAACUCCGAAUCUUAGUCACCGUGGUAGGUCGACUCCAACCGACAACUGCCUCCACCUUGGUAGGAUCCACCUGAAUACCAUCCCUCGAAAUCACAUGGCCAAGGAAUUUAACACUUUCCAACCAAAACUCACAUUUGCUAAACUUAGCAUACAACCUAUGAUCUCGCAUCAUCUGCAAAACAGGUCUUAGAUGUUCCUCAUGUUCAGUGGCACUCCGUGAAUAAAUCAGAAUGUCAUCAAUGAACACCACCACAAACUUAUCAAUAAACAGUCGGAACACCCUAUUCAUCAAGUUCAUGAACGCAGUAGGGGCAUUAGUCAGACCAAACGGUAAAACGAAGAACUCAUAAUGACCAUAGCGAGUCCGAAAAGCUGUCUUUGCUAUAUCUUCUUCUCGGAUCCUCAACUGAUGAUAACCAGUUCUUAAAUCUAACUUACUAAAAUAUUGAGCACCUUGCAGUUGAUCAAACAAGUCAUCAAUCCUCAGUAAAGGGUACUUAUUUCGGACUAUCACCUUAUUAACCUCACGAUAAUCAAUGCACAACCACAUAGAUCCGUCUUUUUUCUUCACAAACAGAAUAGGAGCACCCCAUGGUGAAACACUAGGGCGAAUUAAACCUUUAUCCAACAACUCCUGUAACUGUACCUUAAGCUCCCUAAGUUUAAAAGGUGCCAUUCGAUAUGGAGCCUUAGAAAUAGGUGUGGUCCCUGGCAUAAGAUCAAUGGUGAACUCAAUUUCCCUCACUGGGGGCAAGCCAGGCAAUUCAAUUGGAAACACAUCAGGAAACUCCUUAAAUAUUGGGAUGGUGUCAACCUUACUGUUUCCUUGAUCAACGACCAUGACAUGAGCUAGAUAACCCUGACAUCCAUGUUUCAUAAGUCGUCUAGCCUUAGUGGCUGAUAUCAUUACUGGUGCUAGAAUAGGUUUACGAUCUCCAACAAACUAAAACUGAGGUUUACCAAGUGGUAAAAAAGUCACCACUUUCUCAAAGCAAUCAAAAUUCACGCGAUACAAGGGUAAGUAAUCCAUGCCAACAAUGACAUCUAAAUCUCGCAUCGGAAUAAUCAUCAAAUCCAUUGUUAUCUCACCCUGACCCACACGAGCCUCACACGAUCGAACUACUUUUUUAACGACAUAAGGUCCCGAAAAAGGUGAGGAAAUAGAGUACGUCACAUCUAUCAUCUCUAUAGGUUUAUCCAAAGACUUCACAAAAUUAUUUGAUAUAAAUGAGUUCUCGGCCCCAGGGUCAAAUAAUACUUUAGCGGGGAGUGAAUCAAAAUGAAUAGUACCUGUAACUGUGUUCGGCUCCGCCUCGACCUCCAUAGUAGAUAAUGCAUAAACUCUGCUAACUCGAUGAGUACCUGCCUGAGAUGUCUUCGCUCCACUGCUCUGGGCCCCAUCUUACUGAGAACCUCCACCAAACUAUCUACCUCUCUACUGUCCUGCCCUUUGCUGCCCAAUCCUCAGCUGGCCCGAGACUGAAGAUGCUCUAGUAGGCCUACUCUGCACCGAAGAUGCUACUGAACCCCCAACAGUAGCAUAUGGUAUGCCAGUACCACUAGCAGUAAUCUGGGGACAAUCACGAAUGAAGUGACCCAUUUCACCACACUGAUAACAGGUUCUAGUACCAUCUCUACAUGCUCCAUGGUGGUGAUGUCCGUAGUGAGCACAAAUCCGUGAAAGUGUCUUAUGUGGCCCAUGAGAUCCUCUGGAAAAACUUUGUGAACAACCUCUAGAAGAAGUCUGGGGUCCACGUCUGAACGCGCUCUAGGUACCCCCACGGAAACGGCCCUGAUAACUCGCCCCAGCUGAAUGCUGGGAGCCUUCCCUAGAAGUAGCAUGUAAGUUUCCAUGAGAAGUGCCCUGAUAUCCCCUAUGGGACGAUCCCUAUAAACCACCAAAUAAUGGUCCCUAGCGCUUCCGGAAUCUACCCGAAAACGCAUUAGAUAAUUGACCAUCUGACCGGGCCCUCUUCCUCUGUUCUCCACCCUCUCGUGCAUUGCGCUCCUCAUUAAUCUUAGCUGUGCGUGCACGAUCAAUCGCCUGGGCGUAAGAAAGCAAUCCCUAGACGGAUAAUAGAUCUCUGAUACUAGGCUUGAACCUCCUAAUAAGUUUCUUCGUUUUCUUAUCUUCAGGAAGAGGCUGGGAGAAACGGUAAAACGAGCCAUAAAAUCAGCCACUGUAUCGGCUCAACAGUGGAAAACUCAGCCUCUAACUCGUCUCGGAAUGACUCUGGGAAAUAUUGCUCAAAGAAUGCGGUCUGAAACCGCUCCCAAGUAAGAGGUCCCUUAGCUACUAAUAAUGGACGAGUGAUCUGCCACCACUCGUAGGCCUCACCUGUCAACAUAUACGCUGCAAGAUCAACCUGCUCCCCAGAUGAGCAAUGCAAUACUGUGAAAAUUCUGGCGAUCUGAUUGAUCUAGGACUCAGCCGCCCAUGGAUCGACACUACCAUCAAAGGAAGACAACUUAUGGGUACGGAACUCCCCAUACAAAGGCUUCUCCUUACUAGAAGCCGCUUGAACGUGAGCCUGCAUUAACUGUGUCAAAUCCUCGAUGGCCCGGAAAGCUCCAUCGGGUCCAUCAUAAUCAUGGCUAGCCUCCUGACCAGAAGUAGAAGUGCCUUCAUCGGGAACAUCAUCCCCAAACUGCUGAGUAGUAUCGUGUGGGGUCGUCAUAAUGUCUGAUGCAAGAAGAAUUCAACAUAAGCAUAUAAUCAACAUUCGAGAGACGAAUUCACGGACCUAGUCAAGGUUCACAACCCAACCUUCCCAAGGUUUCCUCACUCUAAGGUUAAGGUAUGAAACCUUGAACCUAAGCUCUGAUACCACAAAAAUUGUCACGCCCCAAUCCCAACAUACGUCGAGAAUCGACACGUGACAAGGAAAAUAACGUCCGUUGAAUACGGUAUAAGUUACGGAAUAAAAUACUUUAACUGAUAAACCAAAAUAAUAUGAAGGUCUCUAAGUUCUCCAAAAAAUAUUUACAAAUAUGUACAUCCCAAAAAGAAGCAUAAUCUUUGCUUUACUAAGAACAAGAUUGAGGUGCUCAAAAGAAAGUCCCAAAGAUAAAGUACAAGAUAGGAUAGGGGUAACCUAGCACUCCAAAUCUCUUAUAACUGUACCGCUACCCCACCUACGAACCUCUCGAAGCUACUUAGACUUGUUACCUAUAAGAUCAGUGCCUACACCAUCGAAAUGGUGCACCGGGCAAACAACAACCCGGAUAAGCUACGAAGCUUGUGUGAGCGAUAAAUAAUACAAAGUAUAUGAUACUAAUAAUAAAACCAACCAUCAUUCACAAUUAUAAACUUUGAAUAUAAAUCAUUUAUAAGAAAUCGCUACCAAACCUUGCAACCUCCGAAGGAGUCACAAAUACAUCCAACGAGUUUUCUAAAUCAAAACUCAAAGUUCUCAAAGCCACAUUCACAGAUAUAUUCAAAACUAGAGUUAGAGAGACGUCGUUCGGCCGAAGCCUACGCAAGUAACCAAAUAAGAAGUGGCCCCCCAAAGCGGAUCAACCAAGCAAAGCCAACCCUAAGAAAGUAACCAAGUAGGUAGUGACCCCCAAUGUGGAUUAACCAAGCAGAGUCACCCCUGCGAAAAUAACCAAAUAGGUAGUGACCCCCCAAUGCGGAUUAACCAAGCAGAGUCACUCCUAUAACUAUUGGAAGGUGAUCACCCAAUGCGGAUUCACCAAGCAUGAUCACCUUUAAAUGUGUAUGGCCAUACCUAGGAUAUAAGGAUCGCCCAACGCGGAUUAACCAAGCGCAAUCCACAAACAGUAUGGUCCCCUAAUGCGGAUUAACUAAGUAGGACCAUCCAGGACCACUGCUACGUGAUGCAAACUUAGUGUCACCUAACCCCAUGACACUAGGGUAAUGGUCAUUUACAAUCCUUCAUUUCUAUCAAACCAUCAAAUAUAUAUUCCAAAACACAAUCCAUCAUUUUUAUCAACCAUCACAUAUAUAUCCCAAAACACAAUCCAUCAUUUUUAUCAACCAUUACAUAUAUAUCCCAAAACACAAUCCAUCACAGUUCAAAUAUCCAAGUCACCUAAUGUUUCAUAAGUAGAUCGACGACAACUUAAUAGCAACAAUUAUUUAGCAUCAGAACUAUUUUAAGAAUCCAUAGUGUAACCACGAAGUUUAUUAGCACAAAAGAUUUCAAAGCAAUAACCAUAACACAUAGAUUAGAAUCACUCAUCUAAGAUUCACACUAACGCACUCAAACACGAGACUUAAGGCAUCACGUUCUAUCACCGCCUAACAAGGUACAAACCACAUUUAUAUUUCCUUCGAUAAUUCACAUACUUAAAACUCUCAUAUAUCUCCCACAACAACAUUUAAUGAGGAAUCGAACUAUCAUUCUAAGGUAGGGUCCAUGAUCUUGCGUCACUUAUUCCGUAAUAUCCAAUCACUAGAUUUUCACUUGUAAGUCCC
rnacentral:lncRNA from 1 species